GUCCUUUUGAUUUUAAUUUAAGGUCUAACCUGCCCAAUGAAAAUUUAAAUGGCCGCAGUAUUUUGACUGUGCAAAGGUAGCAUAAUCAUUAGUUUUUUAAUUAAAAGCUUGUAUGAAGGGUUGGACGAGAUAAAAUCUGUCUUAAUUUAAUUUAUUUUAGAAUUUAAUUUUUAAGUUAAAAAGCUUAAAUUUAUUUAAAAGACGAGAAGACCCUAUAGAUCUUUAUAAUUAUUUUUAUAUUAUUAUUAAAGAAUUUUUUAUUUAUUAUAAAAUUAAUUAUUUUAUUGGGGUAAUAUAAAGAUUUAAUUAAUUCUUUAUUAAAUUAAACAUUAAUUUAUGAUUAUUCGAUCCAAUAUUUUUGAUUAUAAGAUUAAGUUACCUUAGGGAUAACAGCGUAAUUUUUUUAGAGAGUUCAUAUCGAUAAAAAAGUUUGCGACCUCGAUGUUGGAUUAAAAAUUAUCUUAGGUGUAGUAGUUUAAGAAUUGGUCUGGUUCGACCAUUAAAUUUUUACA
rnacentral:rRNA from 1 species